GAAUGCGCGCGUCGUCCGCGCCGCCAUCGCGGAUCCGCCUUCUUCGCCAAAUACGCCCGCGCGAUCCGACGCGGAACUCCGCGCGGAGCAAGCGCUCCUCGCGGGCGACGACAGCGACGGCACGAUCGCCGGGUUCACGAAGCUCGAGUGGAGUUGCAUUCAGACCCCGGCGAGGUACCUCGGGAACGAGAUCGGCGCGGUGCACAAGCCGUGGACGGAGGCGGAGGUUCGGUUCGCGAUGGCGUAUCCGGAGAUCUACGAAGUCGGCGCGUCGAAUCUCGGGCACGUCGUGCUGUACACGAUCUUGAACGACCAGCCCGGGAUGCUGUGCGACCGCUCGUACCUCCCCGGUCCGGACAUGGAGGCGCUGCUGAAGGCGAAGAACCGGACGCUGUUCGCGGUCGAGAGCAAGCGGCCGUUGACGCACUUCGACGCGCUCGGCAUGUCCCUCGCGUACGAGCUGUCGUCGGUGAAUCUGCUUCAGGCGCGUUCUAUACACUGGUCCCCAUACGACCCCGUUCGCGUGGUGAACGCCGUUCCUUAAGCACUUUGCCCGGCGUUUCUCUCCGCCCAUCCCUCGCUUUCAAUCCCCGCCCGCGGUGCCUUUCAACGCCAACUGACGCCUUUCAACUCCACCCCGACGUUCGCUUGUAUGGAACGACCCUCAGAUGAUGUCUCUGUCCGGGGUGCCGCUGACGUGGCGGGAACGGGACGAUAAGCCGGACGAGCCGUGGGACGUGGAUGACGGCUCGUGGCCGUUCGUUUUCAUCGGCGGACCGACGGCGACGAGCAACCCGGAGCCCGUCGCGGA
rnacentral:lncRNA from 1 species